rnacentral:rRNA from 1 species
GUCGAACGGCAGCACAGGUAGCAAUACCGGGUGGCGAGUGGCGGACGGGUGAGUAAUGCAUCGGGAUCUACCCAAACGUGGGGGAUAACGUAGGGAAACUUACGCUAAUACCGCAUACGUCCCAUGGGAGAAAGCGGGGGCUCGCAAGACCCCGCGCGGUUGGACGAACCGAUGUGCGAUUAGCUAGUUGGCGGGGUAAUGGCCUACCAAGGCGACGAUCGCUAGCUGGUCUGAGAGGAUGAUCAGCCACACUGGGACUGAGACACGGCCCAGACUCCUACGGGAGGCAGCAGUGGGGAAUAUUGGACAAUGGGCGCAAGCCUGAUCCAGCAAUGCCGCGUGUGUGAAGAAGGCCUUCGGGUUGUAAAGCACUUUUAUCAGGAGCGAAAUGCCAUGGGUCAAUACCCCGUGGAGCUGACGGUACCUGAGGAAUAAGCACCGGCUAACUCCGUGCCAGCAGCCGCGGUAAU